rnacentral:rRNA from 1 species
UACGUAGGUGGCGAACGUUGUCCGGAUUUACUGGGCGUAAAGCGCGCGCAGGCGGACCGAUAAGUCAGAGGUGAAAUCUCCCGGCUCAACUGGGAGGGGCCCUUUGAUACUGUCGGUCUUGAGAUGCCUAGAGGAGAGUGGAAUUCCCAGUGUAGUGGUGGAAUGCGUAGAUAUCAGGAGGAACACCGGUGGCGAAGGCGGUUCUCUGGGCAUUACCUGACGCUGAGGAGCGAAAGUGUGGGGAGCGAACAGG